UGUGGGAGCGGGCUUGCUCGCGAAAGCGGUGUGUCAGUCACUGUAAAGGCGACUGAUCCACCGCUUUCGCGAGCAAGCCCGCUCCCACA
rnacentral:misc_RNA from 1 species